rnacentral:rRNA from 1 species
CUUUACUAACAUGGUAUAACUGUGGUAAUUCUAGAGCUAAUACAUGCUUUAAAAUCUCGACCCUUUGGAAGAGAUGUAUUUAUUAGAUAAAAAAAUCAAUGUCUUCGGACUCUUUGAUGAUUCAUAAUAACUUUUCGAAUCGCAUGGCCUUGUGCUGGCGAUGGUUCAUUCAAAUUUCUGCCCUAUCAACUUUCGAUGGUAGGAUAGUGGCCUACCAUGGUUUCAACGGGUAACGGGGAAUAAGGGUUCGAUUCCGGAGAGGGAGCCUGAGAAACGGCUACCACAUCCAAGGAAGGCAGCAGGCGCGCAAAUUACCCAAUCCUAAUUCAGGGAGGUAGUGACAAUAAAUAACGAUACAGGGCCCAUUCGGGUCUUGUAAUUGGAAUGAGUACAAUGUAAAUACCUUAACGAGGAACAAUUGGAGGGCAAGUCUGGUGCCAGCAGCCGCGGUAAUUCCAGCUCCAAUAGCGUAUAUUAAAGUUGUUGCAGUUAAAAAGCUCGUAGUUGAACUUUGGGCCCGGUUGGCCGGUCCGAUUUUUUCGUGUACUGGAUUUCCAACGGGGCCUUUCCUUCUGGCUAACCUUGAGUCCUUGUGGCUCUUGGCGAACCAGGACUUUUACUUUGAAAAAAUUAGAGUGUUCAAAGCAGGCGUAUUGCUCGAAUAUAUUAGCAUGGAAUAAUAGAAUAGGACGUUUGGUUCUAUUUUGUUGGUUUCUAGGACCAUUGUAAUGAUUAAUAGGGACGGUCGGGGGCAUCAGUAUUCAAUUGUCAGAGGUGAAAUUCUUGGAUUUAUUGAAGACUAACUACUGCGAAAGCAUUUGCCAAGGACGUUUUCAUUAAUCAAGAACGAAAGUUAGGGGAUCGAAGAUGAUCAGAUACCGUCGUAGUCUUAACCAUAAACUAUGCCGACUAGGGAUCA